rnacentral:rRNA from 1 species
UACGUAGGGUGCGAGCGUUGUCCGGAAUUAUUGGGCGUAAAGGGCUCGUAGGCGGUCUGUCGCGUCGGGAGUGAAAACGCCGUGCUUAACACGGCGCUUGCUUUCGAUACGGGCAGACUAGAGGUAUUCAGGGGAGAACGGAAUUCCUGGUGUAGCGGUGAAAUGCGCAGAUAUCAGGAGGAACACCGGUGGCGAAGGCGGUUCUCUGGGAAUAUCCUGACGCUGAGGAGCGAAAGUGUGGGGAGCGAACGGG